AUUGAACGCUGGCGGCAGGCUUAACACAUGCAAGUCGAACGAGUGGCGGACGGGUGAGUAAUGCUUGGGAAUCUAGCUUAUGGAGGGGGAUAACUACGGGAAAAUGUAGCUAAUACCGAGUACCAUAGGAUGAGCACAAGUGGGAUUAGGUAGUUGGUGAGGAAAAGGCUCAACAAGCCGACGAUCUCUCUCUGGUCUGAGAGGAUGACCAGCCACACGGGGACUGAGACACGGCCCAUACUCCUACGGUAGGCAGCAGGGGGGAAUAUUGCGCAAUGGGGGCAACCUGACGCAGCCAUGCCGCGUGAAUGAAGAAGUCCUUCGGGUUGUAAAGUUCUUUCGUUAGCGAGGCGUUAACUACAGAAGAAGCACCGGCUAACUCCGUGCCAGCCGCCGCGGUAAUUC
rnacentral:rRNA from 1 species